rnacentral:lncRNA from 1 species
ACAUUAAUAUCAUCUUUCUUCUUUUUUUUAAAGGUGACUUAAGAGAUUAAAAUUAAUUUGGUUGCUGAUGGUUCUGAACAAAUAAUGAGUUCUUUUAUUUGAGGUAUGCCAUUUUGAAGACUGAGACAUUGGAGUUUUAUCCUAGAGGAUAAAGGAAAUCUUUGGCAAAGUCAGUAUUUUAUAUAGCAAAAAUAUGAACCUCAAACUGAAUCCUCUAAAGGCCCCAUACAAUGAAGUAGACAUUGGUGGAAGCAUUUACACCCAGUCAGCUUGAAGAGUUUCAAAUGGACCCUACCACUGAGAAAUCAAGAUGGCAGUCUACUAUGGGGAAUUGAGGAAAAUGGAUUAAUACAAGAGUCCUGUGAUAAUAUACAACCAAGACAGGGUUCUUUUAACAUGGAUUCCAUGCAGUGAAUGAAGACAUAGGUUUCUUACCCAACACAAAUGGACAGUGGAUUUGACUUUCUAAAGACUUUUUUUUGUGGACAUUUUGACAUUUGGAGAAGAAAGAUGGCACACUAACCCAGAUAAUAGUUUUUAUGCCUGGAAUUUUUUGCAGUUUGAUUUGUAUGCGUAUGACCUCUUGAAAUGUUAAUUUUUAAUAAAAUUUGUAACACUUAAAAAUUUCUCAGUUUGGGUUUUUUUUUUUUAAGUGGAAGUUUAAUUAAAAUGUUUAGUUUUAUUUUAGUAAUACUUUGGCCUUUGUAGUUGCCGAGUGGUAAAGUGUACUGAAUAUGAAUAAAGCUGGUAAACUGGAAAUGGUGUAAUCGAAAACAUUUUACUUGGUUUAUGAAGAUUUACGUUUUUCACAAAGUUGUGCUCUUAGAUGGUCAUUUGGUUUAAAUACUGUUUUGUUUGUGCUUUCAUGAAACACCUUUCAAAACAACUCAAUGG